rnacentral:lncRNA from 1 species
UUAAUAAAUAUUUUGUCCUAAAUCUUUUAUUUUGAUAUUCGUGUAGUUUACGCGAUGAACGAUGAAUAAAACUGUUUCACUUUAAGGACUGUUCUUAUAGAAUGUUUGUUUUUAUUCGAGAUAAAUUUUAUUAGGACAGUUCCUAUGGUGAGAUCGUUCCAUCUAUUGUCCAUCGUGCUUUGAGAUUCGUGUAGUUCAAAUGAUAGAUUGCAAAUAGAGCUAUCUCACAUAGGGAUGGUAAUCCAGCUCGCUCUUCGCAAGCCAGCUCGUGUUCGGCUUGAAAUGAGCUCGAGAUCGAAUUACUUGUUUAGUAAAUAAG